CAGGGAGGAAAGCCACCUUGUAGUGUCAUGGUUAAACUAUACAGAGGAGUCCUAUCAGCAUCUGUGGCACUAUUUCUUGCCCAUACUCUCUGGCUGUGCAGAUGACUUCAGUAAAAGGCACCAGUGGGCUUCAGGAACUGCACCCCACUGACAACAAAAGGCAACUCUGACACUGAAUGAAACCAAGCAGAACUGUGCUGGAGGUUACCCCCUCACAAGACCCCUCACUCAGCCCAGUCUCUGAGAAGCAGCACAUACAGC
rnacentral:lncRNA from 12 species